rnacentral:rRNA from 1 species
GGAUGAACGCUGGCGGCGUGCCUAAUACAUGCAAGUCGAGCGAACGGACGAGACGCUUGCUUCUCUGAUGUUAGCGGCGGACGGGUGAGUAACACGUGGAUAACCUACCUAUAAGACUGGGAUAACUUCGGGAAACCGGAGCUAAUACCGGAUAAUAUUUUGAACCGCAUGGUUCAAAAGUGAAAGACGGUCUUGCUGUCACUUAUAGAUGGAUCCGCGCUGCAUUAGCUAGUUGGUAAGGUAACGGCUUACCAAGGCAACGAUGCAUAGCCGACCUGAGAGGGUGAUCGGCCACACUGGAACUGAGACACGGUCCAGACUCCUACGGGAGGCAGCAGUAGGGAAUCUUCCGCAAUGGGCGAAAGCCUGACGGAGCAACGCCGCGUGAGUGAUGAAGGUCUUCGGAUCGUAAAACUCUGUUAUUAGGGAAGAACAUAUGUGUAAGUAACUGUGCACAUCUUGACGGUACCUAAUCAGAAAGCCACGGCUAACUACGUG